UCCUGGAAACGGGGAUUAAUACCGCAUAAUAUGCCGAAGUCGCAUGACUUUGGUAUUAAAGCAGCAAUGCACUUAGAGAUGAGUGUGCGUCCAUUAGGUAGUUGGUGAGGUAAACGGGCUCACCAAGCCUAUGAUGGGUAGCCGGUCUGAGAGGAUGGUCGGCCACACGGGCACUGAGACACGGGCCCGACUCCUACGGGAGGCAGCAGUAAGGAAUAUUGGUCAAUGGUGGAAACACUGAACCAGCCAUGCCGCGUGGAGGAAUAAGGUCCUACGGAUUGUAAACUCCUUUGACGAGGAAGAAAAUGUUAGAUUUAUCUAAUUUUGACGGUACUCGUAGAAUAAGCACCGGCUAACUCCGUG
rnacentral:rRNA from 1 species